GGCCCGGGAGGUGGGGCCGGUUAGGGCGAGGGUCCCCGGGAUCGUAGUGUCAGGCCUUGGGCCAACGUAGGCACUCGCAGUUCCUCCGCCUUCAGGAAGGUCUUUUUGGCAGGGGCCUUACGGGUGCGCGCUUCGGUCCUGGAGGCGUUAUCCUAGCCUCCUCUCCAUCAGCGCCACCCGUCUGGGGCCCGAUAGGAGGGAGCUUUCUGUCUGUCCCCCAGCCUUUGGACUGUCACCAAACAAGCCAUCCGUUCACCAAAUACUUAUUAAGCGCCUACCAUGUGUCUGGCAAGGGAGGUGUAACAGUGAGAAAAACUAGGUGUGGUCCAGGCCCUCCAGGGGCUCAGGGGCUCGUGGAAGAAGUGGACAUUGAAGUACUUACCACACAAAUGAGCAUGAAAGUACAAUAGCAAUAUCUGCCACGAAGGCGAGCAGACAGAGCUAGCAGGGCUUCCAGGAGGAGUUUUGAUCUUGCAGGGACAGGAAGGAGGAGUUAGCUCCUGGGGGGCGGGAUUGGGGGUGGUGGUGAUAUAGACGUGGGGACAGAGUGGAAAACAACAAAAAUAUAAUUAUUUUAGUUCAAAGUUAUUGUGUCUUGAGUUGAAAGGCAGGGCAGUUAGCGACACGGUUCAGAUUUCAGUACUGCCCCUGAAAUCUGAAUUGUGUUCAAAGUCUAAAACGUUUACCUUAGCAAAUCCCUCAUAAAACUCCAUUUGGAAGAGUCCCGAGAGCUAAUUUGUUAAGUAUACUUGCAGAAGGUAGAUGAGGAGACAGAUUAAAUCUUAUUACCUCUUUCAGAUGAGAGGCACUUGAGCCCUGCUCAGCCGUGAGAAUAAGAGGGGGAAUUAAUUCUAAUUGAAUACACUUGUUCUCUCACAGCUGUUGUUCCCCACCAGAACCAAAUGAGCGCAAGAUCUGACAAAGAAAAAAAAAGGUUCAUCUUUUAUUCCGCCAAACACUUUCAUCUAAAUCAAGAGGGUGGGAUGUGGUUAUUGCUGUGUUUUUAGACAGAAUCAACAGUUUCUGGGUCUGAGAUAUUGCAUACACCCUCUCAGUCCCUGUAUCCUCAGAUGGAGUCACCUGAGAAUCCACAGCAAGUCCUAACCGGGGAUGGGUCUGGGUGGUUAAGGAAGGUUGGCCUCAGAACUGGGCCAGGGGCACUGCUUUGCUUUUGCUGUUUUGAUCAGCUCUCUGCCCGCAGGAGACAAGGAAAACCAAUGGGAACAGCUGGGGAAACUGAGUUACAGAGCUUGUCUACACUGAGUCAACAGGAGCAAAUGCUAGAUCAGGUCUAGCUGGAGUACAGUGAUGCAGUCAUAGCCCACUGCAGC
rnacentral:lncRNA from 1 species